rnacentral:rRNA from 1 species
UACGGGGGGGGCAAGCGUUGUUCGGAAUUACUGGGCGUAAAGGGCUCGUAGGUGGCCAACUAAGUCAGACGUGAAAUCCCUCAGCUUAACUGGGGAACUGCGUCUGAUACUGGAUGGCUUGAGUUCGGGAGAGGGAUGCGGAAUUCCAGGUGUAGCGGUGAAAUGCGUAGAUAUCUGGAGGAACACCGGUGGCGAAGGCGGCGUCCUGGACCGACACUGACACUGAGGAGCGAAAGCCAGGGGAGCAAACGGG